UCCCUGGUGGUCCAGUGGCUAAGACUUUUUGCUCCCAACGCAGGGGGGCCUAGGUUCGAUCCCUGGUCAGGGAA
rnacentral:tRNA from 1 species